ensembl:lncRNA
GAAAGCUCUUACCUUUCUGGAAGAAAAGGACAAUGACACCUUGAAUUCGAUCGCUGCUGUCGGGAUGCCUCUGCCCUGUUCUCAAAGCAGGACAGCAGCCCUGGGCUUUUACAGGCACUGCCUUCUGCCAUCCCUUUCCAGGUCUCUGUGGUGACACAGAAACACUUCGGCUCCGGGAAAGAAGAUCUGUUGGCUAUGGGGAUAACAACAAUAACCAAAGGAAGGGCGUCCUCGCUGCAAACGCGCUUCUCAAGCCUGUCUGAUAUCGAGGAUGCUGAAAACACGGCAGCUUUAUUUCAGCUUGAACUCCUAAAGCAAGAGGUUUGCAGUUGGAAACCAGCGGGGUGCACAUGUGGAACCCCCAAAACUACCCCGAGAUCUUCGCCC